UAGUUUUUUUCUUUUGUUAGUAGUUAAUUUUGUUAGCCAUGCACAAUGCCAGCCUAAGCCUUUGCGAACAAGUCGUUAAAAUGGAAAAAGUGUGUUAAUAAGAACAACAAAACGUUGGUUCCAUGCGAAACCUACAAUACAAACAUGUAGUGAACGAAGUACAACACGAAUAGUUAAAAAUCAACAAGAAAAGGUCCAUACAUUGGGCCUUUUCUUUUU